rnacentral:misc_RNA from 1 species
UACCUGACCCGAUUUUACCUCCACCAAGAACUUGGCAUCAUCACCAAACACUUGAGUCCUCUGCUCAAAUUCUUCAGCCAACCUGCUUAUAACACUCAAGCCUGCACUCAUUGGUCUUGCACUAUGACCAUUAGUUUCUUGACCCCUGUAGUUACUUCCUGUAUCCCAGCUGAAGUCCCUUUCAUCGCUUGCAUUGACAGAUGCAUCUGAAUUUCUCUCAGAAUCAUCAAUUGCAAGGCUCUUCUUUGCAAUGGAGAGACUGGAUUGCAGAGAUCUCAUCUGUUUCUGCCACACUUCUUCCAUGGACUUCAUUUUCAACUCAUAUUCAGACCAACGGCUCUCAUAUUGUUGGAGGCGUUGGUGGAGGAUGUC